rnacentral:lncRNA from 10 species
AGUUGCAUUAUUUAAAUUAUUUACUUCUAGGCCAGGCAAAGUGGCUCAUGCCUGUAAUCCCAGCACUUUGGGAGGCUGAAGCGGGCGGAUCACGACAUCAGGAGUUCGAGACCAGCCUGACCAACAUGGUGAAACCCCGUCUCUACUAAAAAUACAAAAAAAAUUAGCCAGGCGUCGUGGCGGGUACCUGUAAUCCCAGCUACUCAGGAGGCUGAGGCAGGAGAAUCACUUGAAACCAGAAGGCAGAGGUUUCAGGGAGCCAAGAUCAGGCCACCACACUCCAGCCUGGGCAACAGAGCAAGACUGUCUCAAAAAAAAAAAAAAAAUUAUUUCUCUUAACUCUUUUGGCUUAGUGUAGACUUGAAAUUUUGGGGAAUACAUUUUAAAAAGUUGAAAUAUAGCCUAUUUAUAGUAAGAUGGACAAGUCCUUAGUACACUGUUUGAUAAAUUUUUGUGAACACACUCAUGUAAACUAUUAUCCAGAUUAAGGUAUAGAACAUUACCAGCAGGCCAGGUGCGGUAGCGCACGCCUGUAAUCCCAACACUUGGUGAGGCCAGAUCAUAUUGAUCACUUU